rnacentral:lncRNA from 1 species
UGGAGUCGAAGAGAAAAAAACCCUGGGACGCAAAGGAUAUUGGGCUUAUUAGACUUAAUAUUUGGAGUUAAUCAUAGUAGAUUGAAUAAGCUCUGAUAACGUAGGAGCCCUUACGAUUUAGUAGCUAAUUUGAAUCUUUCUAAGCUUGUUGAAAGUCCUCUAAAUAUGUAGGAGGCAGUAAUUUAUGUAAUCUACCAUUCAAGAAAUAAGAACAAAGUACCGUUCAGUCUCAUUAUUCAAUUUGUUCCAACAUAUUGAUAUCAGUCUUGUUAGCAUCUGAGUGGUUAGAUUUUGUAAAAGAGAGGGUUAGAGAAUGUUAUUAGAGGAGGAAAACAAGCUGGUGAUACUAUGGCGACUUAUGAACACUGGAGUAAGUUGGAAAACCUCCUGAGAUCCAAAAGUUAGCGAGACUUGUAGAGAAAGACUACAAUGAGCCAGCCCGAGGAUAGAUAUAUAUUCAAUGGAGAAACAUAGACAAUAGUUUGUAGAAAAGAAGCUAACAUACGUUAAGGUGAAUAACUACUUGCCUAAGAAAUUAAAAUCCAUCAUGAAUACCAUAACUCAGAAGGAGACAGCCAAGGAACUGUGGAAUUCGUUGAAACCUCCUAGUAUCAGGGAAAAUGAACGUGUAAAAUGAGAACAAUUUCAACGUUUAAAAAGGGAUCUCGGUGAAGGAAACAAAGAGCAUCACAAGGUACUUCUCAACAGUGUCGCUUGCUCAACCGGUAUGAGAACUGUUGGAGAAGAAAUGCACGAUUCACUUAUUUUGGUGAAGAUUCUAAGACACUCUCAGAAAAGUGUACAUACAUCAUAUGUUCGACUGAAUUUUUCAAAAACAUACGGUUUUAGAUGAUGCUCUCCAAAUGUGGUACAGCCUUGAUUAUUUUUUCCUGGAUCAUUUGAAAAAGGUGGAUGAAGAUUGUCCUGGAGUCUACUUGCACUUUUUGUGUGGACGAUGUACUUCACCUUCAGUUUGAUCCCGGAAAACCUAAAAUAUAUUAACAAAGUAUUUUAUAUGCAUGGGGGAAUUCAUUAAAAAUUUAAAGAAAAUACAUUGAAAUUUUAAAAGUCAUGGUGGACAUGGGGGUAUACUGUUGUGGAUUUUAGGCUUUUCUCAGAUUGUGUUGCUACUCUUAUGGCACAUGUACACCUUACUUAACGGCAACGAUUAUUCACGUGGAGAUUCCUUUUCUUAGGUUAAAAGAUUAAUGUUGUGCCGAAAAGAGAAAACAAUGGACAAGGACAGGUUAUUCUCAAAGCUUAUUAGUUUAUUAUCUCCAAAACUCAGGAUAAUACACGUUUUUAAAGAAGAAAAAAAUCGACUAUCUAGUCUAAGAAAACCCUAAUUCUAAACCAGAUUGAUUGGGAUGUUCUUAGUCCUAAUUUGAAUUGGUUAAAUUCCUAUAAAUAAUUACACUCGGUUUACAUUAAGACACAUUUAAAGUUAUCAACCAUAAGAGCAAGUGCAACAAUGAUCCUUAGUUGGAGUCCUACAAUAUCAUCAAAUAAAUUUCAACAAAUAAAAAAUUUUAAAAUAAAAAUUAUAUACAUAAAAUUAAUAUUAAAUAUAUUUCUUUAUAACAUAUUUUAUAUUUUAAAAGUUAAUUUAAAUAUAUAAAUAUAUCCGCACAGAUGUGCGGGUUAAUAUCUAGUAUUUAUUUAAACUUGAGGGUCAGCUUCUUCAUGUGAACCCACGUGCCGGUUCCACGCAUCAGGUCUCGACCGUACUAAAAUGGAAAACUACUUAUAACGUUUGGAUCCAGUGCUUUUCCUCUCUGUCACCACAUGUCCUACGUGGCACAAACUUCUUACUUGUAACUUUGAAUGAAAACUACCAUGAAGCGAUCCCGUGCUUCCCUGCCUUUUAUUAUGUUCCCCUACAUCUCCCACGUGGCGAAUUGUAAUUGUAGGAAGGUUUACGUAGCCAGAAAUUUAGCGAUCGUACUUAUAUGUGCCUCCCGCUCAGUGCAAAGAUCGUACUCAAGAUCUCUUCUUCUUUCUCUCUACUAAAGUUCUGGAGAGAAACAUCGUUAAAGUUUGAAAAAUGAAGCUCGGAAGCAUCAUUGCAGUUCUGCUAAUGCUGGUACUCGUCUCCGGUGAGGUUUCGACUAAAUCUUCACAGGCUCCGGCACCAGAACUACCCCUCGAAGCUGCAGAUUCGCCUCCAAUCCCCGCGCCUAUGCAGGAAGUUGGAUCUCCUCUAGCCGAGUAUCCCAAUGAAUACUCCUCUCCUCCGGAAGUUGGAUCUCCUCUAGCAGAGUAUCCGAAUAAAUACUAUUAUCCUCCAUCAGAUUCAACUCCAUCGCCGGAAGCUGGGGAUUCAAACUACAUCGACAUUACUGGAGUCGAAGAGAAAAAAACCCUGGGACGCAAAGGAUAUUGGGCUUAUUAGACUUAAUAUUUGGAGUUAAUCAUAGUAGAUUGAAUAAGCUCUGAUAACGUAGGAGCCCUUACGAUUUAGUAGCUAAUUUGAAUCUUUCUAAGCUUGUUGAAAGUCCUCUAAAUAUGUAGGAGGCAGUAAUUUAUGUAAUCUACCAUUCAAGAAAUAAGAACAAAGUACCGUUCAGUC